rnacentral:lncRNA from 1 species
CGGAAGCGAUACCCGGGAAACACCUCCGCAGAGACUCUGGAGGUUGGUAGAGGCUGGAGAGGGGCUGCACAAACGCCGAAUUGAAGAAAGAGAAAAGUAUCAGCUUUGCUGUCCUUCUGCUUAUCUGGUUGUGAGUGAAAAUCCAGAGGAAGAUAGAUGCCAGCUAAGGUUUUGGCAAUGCAAUCCCAUGUAAGUAGGUAAUUCUUUGCACCUCUGUUGCCAUCAGAUGGGAA